rnacentral:rRNA from 1 species
AUUGAACGCUGGCGGCAGGCCUAACACAUGCAAGUCGAAUGGUAACAGGAAACAGCUUGCUGUUUCGCUGACGAGUGGCGGACGGGUGAGUAAUGUCUGGGAAACUGCCUGAUGGAGGGGGAUAACUACUGGAAACGGUAGCUAAUACCGCAUAACGUCGCAAGACCAAAGAGGGGGACCUUCGGGCCUCUUGCCAUCGGAUGUGCCCAGAUGGGAUUAGCUAGUAGGUGGGGUAACGGCUCACCUAGGCGACGAUCCCUAGCUGGUCUGAGAGGAUGACCAGCCACACUGGAACUGAGACACGGUCCAGACUCCUACGGGAGGCAGCAGUGGGGAAUAUUGCACAAUGGGCGCAAGCCUGAUGCAGCCAUGCCGCGUGUAUGAAGAAGGCCUUCGGGUUGUAAAGUACUUUCAGCGGGGAUGAAGGGAGUAAAGUUAAUACCUUUGCUCAUUGACGUUACCCGCAGAAGAAGCACCGGCUAACUCCGUG